AGGGUGUAAACGCUGCAGACUUGGUGUUGGGGACCCUACGGGGGUGUUCAGUGCCGGAGAGAAGUUGUUAAGUCUGCUACUUGGGAGUACGUCCGCAAGGAUGAAACUUAAAGGAAUUGGCGGGGGAGGCACCGCAACGGGAGGAGCGUGCGGUUUAAUUGGAUUCAACACCGGAAACUCACCAGCGGCGACUGUUACAUGAAAGUCAGGCCGAUGACCUUACUAGAUUUCAGAGAGGAGGUGCAUGGCGUCAGUGACU
rnacentral:rRNA from 1 species